rnacentral:misc_RNA from 1 species
AAAGAUCGCAGCCUUCGGCAGCUCCUACACGGGCUUGAUGUAUACCCUGUAGGAGCUGCCGAAGGCUGCGAUCUUU